GACGAACGCUGGCGGCGUGCUUAACACAUGCAAGUCGAACGGAAAGGCCCUGCUUUUGUGGGGUGCUCGAGUGGCGAACGGGUGAGCAACACGUGAGUAACCUGCCCUUGACUUUGGGAUAACUUCAGGAAACUGGGGCUAAUACCGGAUAGGAGCGCCUGCUGCAUGGUGGGGGUUGGAAAGUUUAGGCGGUUGGGGAUGGACUCGCGGCUUAUCAGCUGGUUGGGGGGGUAGUGGCUUACCAAGGCUUUGACGGGUAGCCGGCAUGAGAGGGUGAACGGCCACCUUGGGACUGAGAGACGGCGCAGACUCCUACGGGAGGCAGCAGUGGGGAGUAUUGCACAAUGGGCGGGAGCGUGAUGAGGAAGCGCUGCGUGCGGGAUGACGGCCUUCGGGUUGUAAACCGCUUUCGCCUGUGACGAAGCGUGAGUGACGGUAAUGGGUAAAGAAGCACCGGCUAACUACGUG
rnacentral:rRNA from 1 species